rnacentral:rRNA from 1 species
ACGGGAGGCAGCAGUAGGGAAUCUUGCGCAAUGGGCGAAAGCCUGACGCAGCGAUGCCGCGUGCGGGAUGAAGGCCUUCGGGUCGUAAACCGCUUUCAGCAGGGACGAAAUUGACGGUACCUGCAGAAGAAGCCCCGGCCAACUACGUGCCAGCAGCCGCGGUAAUACGUAGGGGGCGAGCGUUGUCCGGAUUUAUUGGGCGUAAAGAGCUCGUAGGCGGUUUGGCAAGUCACGUGUGAAAUCUCCACGCUCAACGUGGAGGGGCCACGUGAGACUGCUAUGACUAGAGUCCGGUAGGGGAGUGUGGAAUUCCCGGUGUAGCGGUGAAAUGCGCAGAGAUCGGGAGGAACACCCGUAGCGAAGGCGGCACUCUGGGCCGGUACUGACGCUGAGGAGCGAAAGCGUGGGGAGCAAACAGGAUUAGAUACCCUGGUA